GGAAGGUAUAGCUCAGUGGUAGAGUGCAUGCUUAGCAUGCAUGAGGUCCUGGGUUCAAUCCCCAGUACCUCCA
rnacentral:tRNA from 1 species